CCUACGGGCAGCAGCAGUGGGGAAUAUUGGACAAUGGGCGAAAGCCUGAUCCAGCCAUGCCGCGUGUGUGAAGAAGGCCUUCGGGUUGUAAAGCACUUUCAGUGGGGAAGAAAGCCUUGGGGCUAAUACCCUCGAGGAAGGACAUCACCCACAGAAGAAGCACCGGCUAACUCCGUGCCAGCAGCCGCGGUAAUACGGAGGGUGCGAGCGUUAAUCGGAAUUACUGGGCGUAAAGCGCGCGUAGGCGGUCUGAUAAGCCGGUUGUGAAAGCCCCGGGCUCAACCUGGGAACGGCAUCCGGAACUGUCAGGCUAGAGUGCAGGAGAGGAAGGUAGAAUUCCCGGUGUAGCGGUGAAAUGCGUAGAGAUCGGGAGGAAUACCAGUGGCGAAGGCGGCCUUCUGGACUGACACUGACGCUGAGGUGCGAAAGCGUGGGUAGCAAACAGGAUUAGAUACCCUUGUAGUC
rnacentral:rRNA from 1 species